rnacentral:tRNA from 1 species
GCGGAUAUGGUGGAAUUGGUAGACACGCUGUCUUGAGGGGGCAGUGGUUAGCGCCGUGCCGGUUCAAAUCCGGCUAUCCGCACCA